GACGAACCGUGCGAACGUUAUUCGGAAUCACUGGGCUUAAAGCGCGUGUAGGCGGAUGGGGACGUCGGUCGUUGAAAGCCCCCGGCUCAACCGGGGAACUGGCACCGAAACGCCCCGUCUCGAGGGACGUAGGGGGACCUGGAACUUCCGGUGGAGCGGUGAAAUGCGUUGAGAUCGGAAGGAACGCCCGUGGCGAAAGCGGCUCUCUGGGACGGUACUGACGCUGAGACGCGAAAGCGUGGGGAGCGAACAGG
rnacentral:rRNA from 1 species